rnacentral:rRNA from 1 species
UACGUAGGGGGCAAGCGUUGUCCGGAUUUAUUGGGCGUAAAGAGCGUGUAGGCGGCCUUACAGGUCAGCUGUGAAAACUCGAGGCUCAACCUCGAGACGUCGGUUGAAACCGUAUGGCUAGAGUCCGGAAGAGGAGAGUGGAAUUCCCGGUGUAGCGGUGAAAUGCGUAGAGAUGUGGAGGAAUACCGAUGGCGAAGGCAGCCCCCUGGGCCAAUACUGACGCUCAUGCACGAAAGCGUGGGGAGCAAACAGG